rnacentral:tRNA from 1 species
AGGGCUUUAAGUUAUGCAAAACUUUGGGCCUUCAAAGCCUACAAAGGGGGGAUCCCCCAGGCUCUG